rnacentral:rRNA from 1 species
CGGGUAGCGGGACACGUACACAACCUUCCGAUAAGUGGGGAAUAGCCCAGAGAAAUUUGGAUUAAUACCCCGUAACAUAUAGAGUAGGCAUCUUCUUUAUAUUAUAGCUUCGGCGCUUAUUGAUGGGUGUGCGUCUGAUUAGGUAGUUGGCGGGGUAACGGCCCACCAAGCCUACGAUCAGUAGCUGGUGUGAGAGCAUGAUCAGCCACACGGGCACUGAGACACGGGCCCG